GAUGAACGCUGGCGGCGUGCCUAAUACAUGCAAGUCGAGCGAACGGACGAGAAGCUUGCUUCUCUGAUGUUAGCGGCGGACGGGUGAGUAACACGUGGAUAACCUACCUAUAAGACUGGGAUAACUUCGGGAAACCGGAGCUAAUACCGGAUAAUAUUUUGAACCGCAUGGUUCAAAAGUGAAAGACGGUCUUGCUGUCACUUAUAGAUGGAUCCGCGCUGCAUUAGCUAGUUGGUAAGGUAACGGCUUACCAAGGCAACGGUGCAUAGCCGACCUGAGAGGGUGAUCGGCCACACUGGAACUGAGACACGGUCCAGACUCCUACGGGAGGCAGCAGUAGGGAAUCUUCCGCAAUGGGCGAAAGCCUGACGGAGCAACGCCGCGUGAGUGAUGAAGGUCUUCGGAUCGUAAAACUCUGUUAUUAGGGAAGAACAUAUGUGUAAGUAACUGUGCACAUCUUGACGGUACCUAAUCAGAAAGCCACGGCUAACUACGUGCCAGCAGCCGCGGUAAUACGUAGGUGGCAAGCGUUAUCCGGAAUUAUUGGGCGUAAAGCGCGCGUAGGCGGUUUUUUAAGUCUGAUGUGAAAGCCCACGGCUCAACCGUGGAGGGUCAUUGGAAACUGGAAAACUUGAGUGCAGAAGAGGAAAGUGGAAUUCCAUGUGUAGCGGUGAAAUGCGCAGAGAUAUGGAGGAACACCAGUGGCGAAGGCGACUUUCUGGUCUGUAACUGACGCUGAUGUGCGAAAGCGUGGGGAUCAAACAGG
rnacentral:rRNA from 1 species